UAGCCUAGUUGUUAAGGCUAUGGAUCGCUAAUCCGGAGACGGCGGGUUCGAUUCCCGU
rnacentral:tRNA from 1 species